rnacentral:rRNA from 1 species
CCUUGAGAAAAGCCUCUAAGGAGUGGAGUGGGUACCCGUACCGCAAACCGACACAGGUAGGCGAGGAGAAAAUCCUAAGGCCCAAGUGUGAUCCCCCGUUUAGGAACUCGGCAAAUUGGCCCCGUAACUUCGGAAGAAGGGGUGCUCUUGCUUGUCAUCCGGCUUGCCCGGAGAAGCGAGCGAGAGUUGCAAUAAAGAGGCUCAGGCGACUGUUUACUAAAAACACAGGGCUCUGCGAAGUCGAAUACGACGUAUAGGGUCUGACGCCUGCCCGGUGCCGGAAGGUUAAAGAGAGGGGUUAGCCGCAAGGCGAAGCUCUGAACUGAAGCCCCGGUAAACGGCGGCCGUAACUAUAACGGUCCUAAGGUAGCGAAAUUCCUUGUCGGGUAAGUUCCGACCUGCACGAAUGGCGUAACGAUCUGAGCGCUGUCUCAACGGGGAGCACUGCGAAUUUGUGGUACCGGUGAAGACGCCGGUUGCCCGUCACAAGACGAAAAGACCCCGUGCACCUUUACUACAUCCUAGUAGUGAAUGCUGGCGCAGUAUGCGCAGGAUAGGUGGGAGGCUUUGAACUCAGGCUUUCGGGCUUGGGGGAGCCAACGGUGAGAUACCACCCUUACUACUCCGGCGUUCUAACCUCGUUCUGUUAUCCAGAUCAGGGACACUGCUAGGUGGGUAGUUUGACUGGGGCGGUCGCCUCCUAAACUGUAACGGAGGCGCUCGAAGGUUCGCUCAGGCUGUUUGGAAAUCAGCCAUAGAGUGCAAAGGCAUAAGCGAGCUUGACUGCGAGACCUACAAGUCGAGCAGGUGGGAAACCAGGACUUAGUGAUCCGGUGGUUCCGCAUGGAAGGGCCAUCGCUCAACGGAUAAAAGGUACGCCCGGAUAACAGGCUGAUCUGAGCCAAGAGUCCACAUCGACGCUCAGGUUUGGCACCUCGAUGUCGGCUCAUCGCAUCCUGGAGCUGUAGCAGGUUCCAAGGGUCCGGCUGUUCGCCGGUUAAAGCGGUACGUGAGCUGGGUUUAGAACGUCGCGAGACAGUUCGGUCUCUAUCUGUGAUGGGCGCAGGAGAUUUGAGUGGGGCUGACCUUAGUACGAGAGGACCGGGUUGGACGAACCUCUAGUGUAUCGGUUGUCACGCCAGUGGCAGUGCCGAGUAGCUACGUUCGGAAGGGAGAAACGCUGAAGGCAUCUAAGCGUGAAACCCUCCACGAGAUGAGAUCUCCCAGGGCAUAAGCCCUCUGAAGGCUCCUGGUAGACGACCAGGUUGAUAGGCCAGGUGUGGAAGCGCAGCGAUGCGUUAAGCUAACUGGUACUAAUUAGCCGUGAGGCUUGACCG